UACGGAGGGGGCUAGCGUUGUUCGGAAUUACUGGGCGUAAAGCGCACGUAGGCGGCUUUGCAAGUCAGAGGUGAAAGCCCGGGGCUCAACCCCGGAAUUGCCUUUGAGACUGCAUCGCUAGAAUUGUGGAGAGGUGAGUGGAAUUCCGAGUGUAGAGGUGAAAUUCGUAGAUAUUCGGAAGAACACCAGUGGCGAAGGCGGCUACCUGGACAAUUGCUGACGCUCAGGCACGAAAGCGUGGGGAGCAAACAGG
rnacentral:rRNA from 1 species